rnacentral:rRNA from 1 species
AACGUAGGAGACAAACGUUAUCCGGAGUUACUGGGCGUAAAGGGCGUGUAGGUGGUUCUGUAAGUCUGGCGUGAAAUUUCUCGGCUUAACCGAGGCAGGUCGUCGGAUACUGCAGGGCUAGAGGACGGUAGAGGCGUGUGGAAUUCCGGGUGUAGUGGUGAAAUGCGUUGAUAUCAGAAGGAACGCCGGUGGCGAAAGCGACGUGCUGGAUCUCUUCUGACGCUGAGGCGCGAAAGCCAGGGGAGCAAACGGG